AACGCUAGCUACAGGCUUAACACAUGCAAGUCGAGGGGUAGCAGGGUAGCAAUACCGCUGACGACCGGCGCACGGGUGAGUAACACGUAUCCAACCUUCCCAUAACUCGGGGAUAGCCUUUCGAAAGAAAGAUUAAUACCCGAUAGUACUUUUUCAAGGCAUCUUGAAAAAGUUAAAGAUUUAUUGGUUAUGGAUGGGGAUGCGUUCCAUUAGAUAGUUGGUGAGGUAACGGCUCACCAAGUCUUCGAUGGAUAGGGGUUCUGAGAGGAAGGUCCCCCACAUUGGUACUGAGACACGGACCAAACUCCUACGGGAGGCAGCAGUGAGGAAUAUUGGUCAAUGGGCGAGAGCCUGAACCAGCCAAGUAGCGUGAAGGAUGAAGGUCCUAUGGAUUGUAAACUUCUUUUAUAGUAGAAUAAAGUGAUCCACGUGUGGAUUUUUGUAUGUAUACUAUGAAUAAGGAUCGGCUAACUCCGUGCCAGCAGCCGCGGUAAUACGGAGGAUCCGAGCGUUAUCCGGAUUUAUUGGGUUUAAAGGGUGCGUAGGCGGAAUAAUAAGUCAGUUGUGAAAGUUUGCGGCUCAACCGUAAAAUUGCAGUUGAUACUGUUAUUCUUGAGUGUACAUAAGGUAGGCGGAAUUCGUGGUGUAGCGGUGAAAUGCUUAGAUAUCACGAAGAACUCCGAUUG
rnacentral:rRNA from 1 species